ACGAAGAUUAGCUCAGGAUAGGAAAGAGUGGAGGUACGUGUCCAAACAGUCUUAGGACUGACGACCUAAUGAUGAUAAUCUAUAAAGGAAAUGUAAUCCUUGACUGCGGUGCCACCAAGGAUAUAGUAUAUACAUUAGUAUAAGACAUUUCGUUACGUUUCAAAUACGUAACUGCGAAUGUAAUUGUCAACACCUAAGAAAUGAAGACCACAAAAUUUGGAGAAUUCGUUUGAAUAAACCAUUUCAAACAAACCCGAAAUAAUCCAAAUCUAAACAUUAAAAAACAUAUUCGUGGUUAAAAAUUUAUUUUAUGAUUAUUUCCAUGGGCUCUGAUGAUUGUGUCGGUGUUUUGAAAGUUUCCAAAAUGCGAUUGAAAAGGUACCACUUGGAAGUUGUUUCCGGUUCCAUCUGGACUCUACCACAGUUUUUUCAAGAUGUUGUGUUCCAUACAUGAUUUCUACGUGAGGUUUCCGAUAUAGUGCAUCUGCGUUGCCGUGUCGUUUGUCUGGACGACGCUCGAUGUCGAACUGGUAUUCCUGUAAUCAUCGUGCAAUUUGUCCUUUCGGGUUCUUAGAUUGCAGAAAGUUCUUCACUUCAACGAGGCGUGAUCCGUUCCGAUCAUACGGGAACUUGUGGAAAUGUUCGAGUGUGUUAACGAGAGUCAGUAGCAUUCGAUAGGUGACAAUAAUUUCGUUCUUGGUUCCUAGACUGUUUUACUAAAGUAUUUGAUGACCUUUUCCUUUCCGUCUUGUACUUGAGGUAACACACCAAGUCUCACAGUACUAACAUCGGGAUCGUUGAACUCUGGCUGUGCAAAGACUGGAGCUCCAGAGAGUGUAACCUUCAGAUUGUCAAAUGCUUUUUGGCAUUCGGAUAUCUAUUGGAAUGAAACUCUUAUCGUCUGUGUAGUGGUCGGGCUAUAUUGGCAAAUUCCAGUACGAAUCUUUCCAACGAUAUAAAAGAUUUAUAGAGGCUAGCCUUGUUCUAGAAUGAUCCAGAAUGUGACGUCUAGAAAAUCUGGUCUUCUUUGUCACUGUGUAUGUUUAUUAUCUUACACGUAGACAGUGUAUGUUGAGUUGUUUACAUCUGACAAUAUAUACACAGCCGGCCGCUUUUUCAGUUGCUCUUGAAGUUCUGAUGUUCAUCUCACUUAUUAGGUUACGGUAGGAAAAGGCGAAACUCGAAAGCUAUGUGAAUAAAUAAUUUUGAAGAUAGUAUAAGUAAGUAUGUAUAUAUUCUUGUUUAGCAUCUUCCAUUUCACAACGUAAAAUUCUGAUCUGUAUUUCAGCAUUGGUUCAACAUUCUGGUAACGGUUAAGACGCCUUUUUUGGUAUUGGACUUUUUAAAUUUAUAAAAAUUUGGUGAUUCCGAAACAUAUUCCAUAAUUGUGAAUUGAAUUGAAAAUAAUGAAUUUAACUUUGCCAGUAGACCGCCUAGUUGUUUGUUCUAGGUUUUUAUUCUAUCAGGCUGAAGUUAUAAAAUUUGUCAUCUUUGAUAUCAUUCAGAUGUAAAAACAUCUUCGUUACCAUCGCCUUUAUUUGUAACCAUGGAAGAUUUGUUUACAUUUCGUUGACUUGAAUUCGACCAUAAGGUUUAAACGUCACUCGGGGUUAGUUGUAAGCUAUUAGGAGAAGAGUUUUCGGGAUUAUCGAAACACGAGUCUAAUGAUAAUGAUUUUGUAGGUAGACGUCUAGGCUCUCCGUGCAGGUGUUGC